rnacentral:rRNA from 1 species
UACGUAGGGGGCGAGCGUUAUCCGGAAUUACUGGGUGUAAAGGGAGCGUAGACGGCGAAGUAAGCCUGAAGUGGAAGCCCGCGGCCCAACCGCGGAACUGCUUUGGGAACUGCUUAGCUGGAGUAUGGGAGGGGUAAGCGGAAUUCCUGGUGUAGCGGUGAAAUGCGUAGAUAUCAGGAGGAACACCGGUGGCGAAAGCGGCUUACUGGACCAUGACUGACGUUGAGGCUCGAAAGCGUGGGGAGCGAACAGG